UCUAGAGACUUAUCUGUGUUGUUUUGCUGGAAAUACGCCAAAGAAAUGGGCUAAAAUGUUACUGUGGGCAGAAUACUAGUAUAACACCUCUUAUCAGACUGGAAUGACUCUAUUCAAGGCCCUAUAUGGCAGGGACCCACCUGUUCUCCUAAAAUGGUCAAAUAGACCUUCACGAGUACAGGAGCUAGACCAGCAAUUGAGGGAGAGAAAUCUUAUUUUGGAUGAACUUAAGGCACAGCUUGAGCGAGGUCAAGUAAGAAUGAAUAACCAGGCAGAUAAACAUCGAAGAGAGGUCCACUUUGAGGUAGGAGAUUUUGUCUAUUUGAAACUUAAGCCUUACCGAUUUCAGUCAUUGGCUAAAAGGCCUAAUGAAAAAUUAGCCCUUAGAUAUUAUGGGCCAUUUUUGAUUGAGGAAAAGAUUGGUUUAGUUGCUUAUCACUUGACCCUCCCUCCUAGUGCUUGAAUUCAUAAUUUUUUUCAUAUUUCCUAACUUAAAAAAGCCUUAAAGGCCAUGGUUACAGCUUAACCAUUACCAAAUGGGCUUAUUGAGGAAUUAGAGUUACAAGUGGAACCCGAAUCAGUUUUAGAGGUGUGUUGCGAUGACCAAGGUACCUUACAGCUCCUGAUUAAGUGGAAAGCCUUACCUGACUACAAGAAUACUUAGGAAGAAUUAAUUGGAGACCAUUCGUACUCAAUUUCCAAAUUUUCACCUUGGGGACAAGGUGACACUUGUAGAACAGGAGAAUGUUGGGCCCAGCAGAAAAUGGGGCUAGAUAUAUACAUAAAAGAAGAAAGGAAGCCCAACCCAUUGAAGUAACUGUAACAAGGCUAGAAAGGGAAGAAUGGGAAAUAGAGCUCAGUAACAAAUAUUCUGAUUAUGUCAGAUAGUAGGAGUGCAUUAAAAAGGGGGAGAGGAGGUUGUAUUGGGCAGGAAGUGUGUCACUAGUAGGAGAGGGUCCUGGUCUCUCAAAUACCAGGAUUGUAUUCCUAAGUUUGUGAGUUUAUGCUUUGGGUGAUUAGGGAUUGUAUUCCUCUACAUUUUCCACUAAUAAUAGAGGUCUACUGGAAUAUAUUUCAUAUUUGGCAUUGAGUUAUUUUUCAAGACCUAACAGUAGCCCAUGCCAGAUUUGAUAUAUUUGUUGUUAUUGUUUUCCUCAGGUUUACAAGAAAAUGUCAAAGCACUUUUUCGCUUAGAUGCAAGCCAUAUAAGAUCAGGAUUGUAGAUUCUCCUUUAUUGCUUGUUCUGAUCCUGCACAUGCCUAAGCUAUGAGAGGAUUUGAAUAAAAAUGAAGAUGGUUUGGCUUAAUGGUGUAUAGGUUAGAGUUUGAACAUGUUAGGUGAAAUUUUGAAUUGUUAGAGUAGUUUGGGUCUUGAAGCACAAAGGAACAAGGAAGAAAUUUGUUAUACUUGAUGACAUUUAUGAUAUUGAAUUAAAGGUGUCAUAAGAUCGGUUGUGGUUGUGUAAGGUAAGAAAUUGUAUUGUUUUGAAUAAUGUGUACUUUAUGAAGAAUUAUCAAAGAGCCUUAAGGAUAAAUCAUUUAUCAGUUACUAAAGGAAAGAGGCAUGGUUGAGAUGAAUAUGUCAUUAUAGGUGGGAGAAUGGAAUAGAAAGAAUAUAAUUCUAAAUAUGGAUAGUAGAUUGAGGCAAAUAAGGAUUGAGGACUUUAAAAUUAUUCUAGAUUACAUAUUGGGUUCACGAAUGUUAGUUAAAAAUAUAUGAAUUGAAGUUUUUAUUAAAGAAAGUUGUUUAUUCUUCUGGUCUAGGUAAUAGCGUAGCUAAAGGGAAAUGGAGAGGCAUUUAAAAAGCACAUAUUAUUAAUUUGGGAGAUAUCAAGUAAGUGGAUAGCGUCCAACUAAUUUUUUCAAUAAAGAUUUCCUAUACUACAAUAGUACAUUUGUUUGCAAAAUUGUUUUAGUAAUAACGAUGUGGUUAUUGAAUAGUGUGUUUAUUAAACUUCUUUAUUUUGUGAAAUUACCUUUAUCAGUUUUGAAAUUUUAAUUAAUUAAUAAAUAUAAGUUUGGACUUUGAUUAUGAGAUUUCAUUCUAUCGAACAUUGGAUUGAUAUAGAGAAUGAUUCAUGCGAGUUUGACUUUGAAAGUGAAAAUUUUAUUUUGAAAGUGAUGAUUUUCUCGUAUGUUUGAAAAUGGAUUUGAAGGGGACUUUAUGCAGAACACUGGUUGUUAACGGCAAUUCCGUUAGCCCUUGGUGCGCCAUGGUUCACCUAGCUAGCAGGGUACUUAUAAGAGGUGCUAGCCCUGUGCGAUGGCCAACGCACGUGGAACGGAGGGAUGGUUAUUUGUGAGCAUCAUACUCACAUUUGUUUCGUUACUUCAGCCGUGUUUGGUUACAUACCCUCGUGAACUGUGUGUCCAUGUUUGUUUUGUAGCUUCGGCUGCGUUUGGUUACUUACCCUCGUGGAUUAUGUAUCCACGUUUGUUUUCGUGGCAUAAGCUGCGUUUGGUUAUUUACCUUCGUGGACUGUGUGUCCACAUUUGUUAAUUGUUCUGAUAAGUCCCUAUAAUUAUGAAUCCAAUUAUUUGAUGAUUUUACGUUCCA